rnacentral:rRNA from 1 species
AUUGAACGCUGGCGGCAUGCUUUACACAUGCAAGUCGAACGGUAACAGGCCGCAAGGUGCUGACGAGUGGCGAACGGGUGAGUAAUGCAUCGGAACGUGCCCAGUCGUGGGGGAUAACGCAGCGAAAGCUGUGCUAAUACCGCAUACGAUCUAUGGAUGAAAGCGGGGGACCGUAAGGCCUCGCGCGAUUGGAGCGGCCGAUGUCAGAUUAGGUAGUUGGUGGGGUAAAGGCCUACCAAGCCGACGAUCUGUAGCUGGGCUGAGAGGACGACCAGCAACACUGGGACUGAGACACGGGCCAGACUCCUACGGGAGGCAGCAGUGGGGAAUUUUGGACAAGGGGCGCAAGCCUGAUCCAGCAAUGCCGCGGGCAGGAAGAAGGCCUUCGGGUUGUAAACUGCUUUUGUACGGAACGAAACGGUCUGGGUUAAUACCCUGGGCUAAUGACGGUACCGUAAGAAUAAGCACCGGCUAACUACGUGCCAGCCGCCGCCGUAA